rnacentral:rRNA from 1 species
UGCCAGACUCCUACGGGAGGCAGCAGUGGGGGAUAUUGCACAAUGGGGGAAACCCUGAUGCAGCGACGCCGCGUGGGUGAAGAAGCGCCUCGGCGCGUAAAGCCCUGUCAGCAGGGAAGAAAAUGACGGUACCUGAAGAAGAAGCCCCGGCUAACUACGUGCCAGCAGCCGCGGUAAUACGUAGGGGGCAAGCGUUAUCCGGAUUUACUGGGUGUAAAGGGAGCGUAGACGGCUUGGCAAGCCAGAUGUGAAAGGCUGGGGCUCAACCCCAGGACUGCAUUUGGAACUGUCAUGCUAGAGUGUCGGAGAGGCAGGCGGAAUUCCUAGUGUAGCGGUGAAAUGCGUAGAUAUUAGGAGGAACACCAGUGGCGAAGGCGGCCUGCUGGACGAUGACUGACGUUGAGGCUCGAAAGCGUGGGGAGCAAACAGGAUUAGAUACCCUUGUAC